AUCUAUUUGUUGUGGUCCAUGAAGCUGCAUAGGUGGGACUAUCUGCUUCUUGCUCCAGCGAGGUCCUUGGUUGCCUAUUCAUCAGCCUUUGAUACUGUGGAAAUGAAAACAAGGUCACCAGUGGGAAACGGCUACCUGCUGGGAGCAAGUGUUCACCUGCUGCUCUCCACUCCCACCCUCCUCACUGUGCUCCACGUGAUGUCAAAGAUGCAUGGCUGCCGAACAUAGAAACAGAUGAACCAGAAUUGCCUAUAUGUCUCCUUGACCUGUAUCGGUCGCUACGCUGUCACGCAUCUUAUUAGCCACAACCAGAAGCUGCAGAUGGACCCUAAUGGUCAUUCAUCAAAAGGCGCUCUCCUUCCUACAGUACCUGAGCAGAUGAUGGUGCAGAUGAUGGUUAAGGUGGGAAGCUCUGGUGUGAUUUAUGAGAAAGUCCUCCAGUUUGAGUUGGCAUUGUGCAUAAUAUUGAGCAUGGUAGAGCUUCAGUCCAAAACUGAAGGUCAACAGAUUGCUGUAAGUGUGUUUCAUUAUUAAUAACAGCAUUUUGGUUUGGUGAAGAAUACUUUAUUUACAGUUAUUUUGUCUUGACCCUAUUUUGUGCGCUGAUAGGAUCUGUUUUGACAAUGUUGGAGUUUGAUAGUGUGAUCCUCUGGGGAAUUGUAACAGAUAAUCCAGGUUAUAAAAUACAUCAGGUAUAACAAAUGGGUUGUAUAC